rnacentral:rRNA from 1 species
GAUGAACGCUGGCGGCGUGCCUAACACAUGCAAGUCGAGCGAACAGACGAGGAGCUUGCUCCCCUGACGUUAGCGGCGGACGGGUGAGUAACACGUGGAUAACCUACCUAUAUGACUGGGAUAACUUCGGGAAACCGGAGCCAAUACCGGAUAAUAUAUUGAACGGCAUGGUUCAAUAGUGAAAGACGGUUUUGCUGUCACUUAUAGAUGGAUCCGCGUCGCAUUAGCUAGUUGGUAAGGUAACGGCUUACCAAGGCGACGAUGCGUAGCCGACCUGAGAGGGUGAUCGGCCACACUGGAACUGAGACACGGUCCAGACUCCUACGGGAGGCAGCAGUAGGGAAUCUUCCGCAAUGGGCGAAAGCCUGACGGAGCAACGCCGCGUGGGUGAUGAAGGUCUUCGGGUCGUAAAACUCUGUUAUUGGGGAAGAACAAAUGUGUAAGUAACUAUGCACGUCUUGACGGUACCUAAUCAGAAAGCCACGGCUAACUACGUG